rnacentral:piRNA from 1 species
AACCAUCUGUAAUGACAUCUGGU